AAGUUUUUAACUUAAGUGGCGGACGGGUGAGUAACACGUAAGAAUUUGUCUUUAGGAGGGGGAUAACAAUUGGAAACGAUUGCUAAUACCCCAUAUGCUUUCGAGUGAAAUGGAUUUUCCGCCUAAAGAGAAGCUUGCGGCUGAUUAGCUUGUUGGUAGGGUAAAAGCCUACCAAGGCGACGAUCAGUAUCUGGUUUGAGAGGACGAUCAGACACACUGGAACUGAGACACGGUCCAGACUCCUACGGGAGGCAGCAGUAGGGAAUUUUCCGCAAUGGGCGAAAGCCUGACGGAGCAAUACCGCGUGAGGGAUGACUGCCUAUGGGUUGUAAACCUCUUUUUUCAGGGAGGAAUAAAUGACGUGUACCUGAAGAAUAAGCAUCGGCUAACUCCGUGCCAGCAGCCGCGGUAAGACGGAGGAUGCAAGUGUUAUCCGGAAUCACUGGGCGUAAAGCGUCUGUAGGUGGUUUAAUAAGUCAACUGUUAAAUCUUGAGGCUUAACUUCAAAAUCGCAGUCGAAACUAUUAGACUAGAGUAUAGUGGAGGUAAAGGGAAUUUCCAGUGGAGCGGUGAAAUGCGUAGAGAUUGGAAAGAACACCGAUGGCGAAGGCACUUUACUGGGCUAUUACUGACGCUCAGAGACGAAAGCUAGGGUAGCAAAUGGGAUUAGAUACCCCAGUAGUCCUAGCUGUAAACAAGGGAUACUAGGUGUUGAACAGAUCGAUCUGUGCAGUACUAAAGCUAACGCGUUAAGUAUCCCGCCUGGGAAGUAUGCACGCAAGUGUGAAACUCAAAGGAAUUGACGGGG
rnacentral:rRNA from 1 species